GGCCAAGUGUAUUAUCGUUGUCAGCUAUGCCUCCCCGAUCAAGUUGAAUGUCACCACCGACCCACCGCUAAAAACCCACACCACGGAGUCCUCCCGAUGUGACAGUCGGGGCGAUACCGGGCCUCGACCCAGACCCCUGCCAUGCUGGUAUAACCCUUGAGUUGGUGGGCAGACGAAGACCAGGAUAAGGUGGUGGUAUCCAGUCUUCAAACAGAAGCAGGUUAACGGGAUGGGUUCCAACCCAUUGUUGUGAUUUAUCAGCCAUGAAGAGGUGAACUUGAUGAACUUCAAUAGCAGAAGUGGAGCUAAUUCAUCACAAAUCGUAUGCUGGCUGACUUGCCGGCUCAAAGCUCGUGGACCUAUAUUUCAUCUCAAAGUCAUGUUCGGAGAAUAGUGUGCUUAGAGAAGCGGAUAAAACGGUUCCAACUGAAGUAGUAAAAAUCAUGAAAACGUGAAGAUGGGAACGGCCUACAUGGCAUAGCAUCCAAGAACCUACUUGGCGUUGACUGACGGAUAGGAUAGAAUCCGGUCAUCAAGGGGCUCGCGACUUGACCGUGUAAAGAGGACGAUGAUGCGGAUGUGAUGGAACACCCACUCGGUUGAUGAUGCCACCAGGAUACACUCUGAAGACUACACAGUCCUCUUUGACUCGACACAUCUCGGCGUCAAAUGACAACGAGGUUCAUUGCCGAUGACAGUGAUCAACGCUUUGUUGUCAAGAGCAGAUCAACAGAGUUCAGAGGCGAGACAGAACCGAUAAAAGUUGUAUUUCCAGAACAUGCAAUACCGUACCCUUUCCUGGGUAUGCCUUUCAUAAAAUAAAAGCAGAAGCUGGAAUAAUCACCAAGAUAGCUUCGCUUUUAUAGGCUCUUGAUACGAACAAUUUUCGGUCGAAACACACGAGUUUACUUUUAGAACAUGCAAAGUCACACCCUUCCUUAGUAUACCCUUCACAGAAUAAAAGAAGAAACUGGAAUAAUUAUCAAGGAGGCUUCUUGUUAGGAACAAUAUUCCGUCGAAACUGAAUGCAACGGUAACUGUUUAUCUUUCUCAGUAUUGUGUCUAUUGACACAGGAUCUCCACUCAUCUUUCAUGGUUGCUAUUCUCCGCCCGCUCGAUCCGUCGUAUCCCCUUUGUAAAUAUAUCUUCAUUCAUGACAACUCUCUGACCAGUUCAAAUACAACCAGGAGAAUAACAUCGCUGGUAUUGACCAAGGGUAAGACCCAACGUUGAGAGUUGGAGUGAGCAGAAAAUGUACGUCGUUUUAUUAAGGUUGUUAAUAUUUUGAUUGCUGAAAACCUAAAAUCUGAAAAAUUUAAAAGAGACUGCCCGACCUUGUGUUUUCACUCUACAUGCAAGGGCAAGGAGCCACUGUUUGAAAUUCAUUUGAAACGCUCAAACUUCUGUGGAUGGUCAUGAUAGAAUUGUAAAUCAUAAAUCGCCUCGGGAUAUUGUUUACAGCUUACAGCAUUUUCGACCGUCCUCCGCCCGGUGUCCCCUCGGCGUCUUAUGAUUGGCGUCAUUUAGGGCGUACAGGAUUUGGUGUUCGCACGCCAUUUCGUAGCAGACGACAUCGCUUCACAGCUCGUCUACUCGCUCAGAAACGAUCGUGAAGCGCGCGGGAAGAACAACACACAAAGAUUCAACGCCAACUCUCGGACAGUAGGCCUAUUCGUUAUCGAGCACGCAUAACGACGCACGGUCAACGUAAGUUGUUAUCAGGGGCAGUGUCUAUUUGCACAAGGCUAUCACCCGGAGUUCGUAGUUCAUGCAUGAUAUCGAAUAAAACCAAUUGUAGUUUGAAGGAAUAAUAUCAAUGGAGUUGCACCUUGGUUGAGAAAAACUGAAACGCAGAUUGAAGAAUUUCUUGCCUGUUUCGUUUAACUUUUCGGAUUUAACUCUUGGAGAUUAUAGUUGCGCCACGAAGGUUUCGUGAACCUCUACAUCAUAGAGUGAUUGGAAAUUAACCCCUUGGGUGUAAGGUGUUAGAGCUUUUCUUUGAAAUAGGAAAGGAUCACCUAGCCGACGAUGGCGACCGCAGCAGCCCCGGCUGGAGCCCCAGGACCCAUCAAUGCAAGCAAUAAGACAGUUAAGUUCACCUACUUUGAAAAUGGAGAAGAGAAAGAA